GUCUACGGCCGUACCACCCUGAACGCGCCUGAUCUCGGAAGCUAAGCAGGGUUGGGCCUGGUUAGUACUUGGAUGGGAGAGAAGACGAGAUGGCAGAAAAUA
rnacentral:rRNA from 1 species